AGUGGGCAGAUGAUGAUUUAUCGUUUUUAAUGGGUAAUUUGCGUCUGAAGCUUGUAUUCGUGAUGUUACCUAUCGUAUCACCUUGGAGAUCUGAUGCCCAAU